AGCAGCUUGCCAUGAAUGACGAUAUUAAGCAGUGAGGGGAAGGUGCUGGGACAGUGACGGUCCAGCAUUACAAGCUCUUAACUCCAGCUGCAAUUACGACUGACAAAAACUUGUUCAGACCGAAGAGAAGAAUAAAUGUGAAGCAAGGAGGACCUCAAAACACAUCUUUUAGUGUCUCGGUCUUCUCACAAAACUCUGCCAAUCUAAACCUAUUUUCACUGCUAGAAGGAGACACCCCUAACGAGAAAUGAAUACAACUACACUGAACAAUAAUAUAAACGCGACACUUUUGUUUUUGCUUCCAUUUUUCGUGAGCCGGACUCCAAGAUCUAAAACUUUUUCGACAAUUUCCCUCAAAUAUUGUGCACCGAUGUGUCUCCUUGGUCGAGAUAAUCCAUCCCAGCUCACAGGUGUGGCAUAUCAAGACGCUGAUUAGACAGCACGAUUAUUGCACAGGUGUGCCGUAGGCUGGCCACAAUAAAAGGCCACUCUGAAAUGGGCGCUUUUAUCACACAGCACAAUGCCACGGAUGUCGCAAGCUCUGAGGGGAGCGCGCCAUUGGCAUGCUGACCACCGGAGCUGUUGCCCGUGAAUCGAAUGUCCAUUUCUCUACCAUGACGAUUUGCAAGUGGUUCAAGAGACUGGUUGAAAGACCUGGAUCGUGAUUGGAUCGAUAACAGUAUUCGAUUGGACAGACACCGUCAGAAGUCCGCUUCUGCUGCAGAAACACCUGGUCAGAACCACAUCAAGAAGAUUAAAGACUCGCUUUGAGUUACUUGGUCCGUUGUCUUUGCUUUUAUACAUCAAGCCUAAUGUUUUGCAAGUUACUGCCCAUGUGGUGAAAGGGGAAAGAAAACAUGAUCAAAUACAAAUAAAGGGAAAGCUAACGUGAGGCAAGGCAUGUUGGAGAAAAAAGGGGUCCUGGGGGAGAAGGAGCAAGAAGGAGUCCGGCAGCAAACGGAGCGGCGCUGGUGUCUGUUUUCCCUCUGGCUGGUGACGGGCGACUGCAGCCAGCAUAAACACAUGCCUUCAUGGCUCACACAUUUCCUGCUUCACUCCACAUCCCAGCGCUGGCUGGGCCACACAGGCUCAGGACACCGCUGCGAGUUGCGCAGGCAUGUACCAAACCUGGACUUCCAAUUUGUUUCACAACAUUUAUUCAUUGGCUUUCUUUUUGCGUGUUCCUUUUCAUGUCCCCCUACGGAUGAGAUAUUUGAACGCAUAGUGCUUUCUCCCACUUUAUGCCAUGUCAUUCCGUUAUUUGCUGAUGAAACGCACCUCCUUUCAUCUGUAGAAAAAGCUUUGUCUCCUAAAGCGAGACCCUACUCCUUCAACUUUCAGGCAAAAUCCGGCGGACACAAUGGCAGUGGGUAGAGAGGGGGAGGGGAGUGUGGGAGCCUGAGAGGCAGUCGAGAUAUGGCUUGAACAGAAUGCCAACGAGGGAGAGCAGGCCACGGAGACGACGCAAGGGUCUUUCGUGAUCUAUCGCCCUUCAGAGACUUCACAAGAAAUGCAGCCAUUUUUCUUGGUACAGUCCUAUGUGCGGUGCAAUCCUGCUGUUACUCGACAUUCCCAGCCAGCUCCAGCUGCAUCCUCUCCCGUCCACAUACUUUAGAGUCACACGAUUAUUCACAUAUGCUUAAUUGUAGGUGUUAAUUUGAGAAAUAGCAGAAGGAACUUGUGUUCUUGCUGAGGGCUGUAUGAAUUGAAAGCACAGGGGUCAUUGAGGCGAGUCGGGGUGUAAAACAGCCCUAGUACGCCAUAGUCCAGAAGGAGAUGAUUAUCUGGAGCUAAUUUAACCCACA